GAUCAUGACUCAGAUUGAACGCUGGCGGCAGGCUUAACACAUGCAAGUCGAACGGUAACAUAAAGAAGCUUGCUUCUUUGAUGACGAGUGGCGGACGGGUGAGUAAUGCUUGGGAAUCUAGCUUAUGGAGGGGGAUAACUACGGGAAACUGUAGCUAAUACCGCGUAGAAUCGAGAGAUGAAAGUGUGGGACCUUCGGGCCACAUGCCAUAGGAUGAGCCCAAGUGGGAUUAGGUUAG
rnacentral:rRNA from 1 species